GACGAACGCUGGCGGCGUGCUUAACACAUGCAAGUCGAACGGAAAGGCCCUGCUUUUGUGGGGUGCUCGAGUGGCGAACGGGUGAGUAACACGUGAGUAACCUGCCCUUGACUUUGGGAUAACUUCAGGAAACUGGGGCUAAUACCGGAUAGGAGCUCCUGCUGCAUGGUGGGGGUUGGAAAGUUUCUGCGGUUGGGGAUGGACUCGCGGCUUAUCAGCUUGUUGGUGGGGUAGUGGCUUACCAAGGCUUUGACGGGUAGCCGGCCUGAGAGGGUGAACGGCCACAUUGGGCCUGCGAUACGGCGCAGACGCCUACGUGAGGCAGCAGUGGCGAAUCUUGCACAAUGGGCGGAAGCCUGAUGCAGCAACGCCGCGGUCGUGAUGCCGGCCUUCGGGUUGUAAACCGCUUUCGCCUGUGACGAAGCGUGAGUGACGGUAAUGGGUAAAGAAGCACCGGCUAACUACGUG
rnacentral:rRNA from 1 species